rnacentral:misc_RNA from 1 species
UAAUAAGUGUUUUUAUGGCACUUUUUAAAUCCAUAUCCACCUUGUGUGCAAUGUCAGUCGAUCUUCUUCAUGGAGAUCGACCAAACAUCAACCUUUAUCUUUUAACUCUUUGUCUGAAAAAAUAUUAUGAAUAAACAAUUCAAAAUA